AGCGAACGCUGGCGGCAGGCCUAACACAUGCAAGUCGAACGAACUCUUCGGAGUUAGUGGCGGACGGGUGAGUAACACGUGGGAACGUGCCUUUAGGUUCGGAAUAACUCAGGGAAACUUGUGCUAAUACCGAAUGUGCCCUUCGGGGGAAAGAUUUAUCGCCUUUAGGGCGGCCCGCGUCUGAUUAGCUAGUUGGUGAGGUAAAGGCUCACCAAGGCGACGAUCCGUAGCUGGUCUGAGGGGACGAUCAGCCACAUUGGGACUGAGACACGGCCCAAAUCCCGACGGAAGGGAGCAGUGGGGAUCCUGCCGAACUGGGCGAAUGCCGAAGGCAGCCAGGCCGGGUAAAUAUUGAGGGGCGAAGGAUGGGAAAUUGCUUCACCGGGGACGAUAAUGACGGUACCCGGAGAAGAAGCCCCGGCUAACUUCGUG
rnacentral:rRNA from 1 species